CCUGUACCGACAAAUGAUAAUUGUGGGCCUGAAAGUGAGAGGUUAGAAACGAUUUUUAUGUGUGAGGGGUGCGAGGGAUUUUACAAAAAUGAAUCAAGCGAAUGUAAAUAACUUAGUGUCAAAAUUACGGUUUAAUGUUCAACCAAAGUACCGAACACUGAGGAAUUCAGAUGGUCUCGAAGGCAGAAUUCGAAAAAUUCAGAAAACAUUAACUGCAUUAUUGAAGUACGAGAGGAUUGAGUUGUAUUGGAAUCGUGCAGAUGAAGUUCGAGGUUAUGCCGAUCGUUUGAUUUCUGAGGCUAUUCGCCAUGGCCCUGCACACAAGGAGACAAUGGAGCUAGCAGACUUCUACAUUCUCGAGAAACAACUCGUUCACAAGCUCUUCAAAGUACUGGCUCCAAGGUAUCAAGAUUACACAUCUUCAUACACGAAGAUGCAUAAAAUACAGAGGGAUUACCCUGGGUAUUGGUACAGAAAGGCAGUCCUGGAGCUGAGAGGAAAUCCAUACCCUGGCCUAGAGCAGCCCAAUCCAUUCGAGAAGAAGCUCCUCCAUAACGUCCUAUUGGACGAAGUGAGGAAAGAGGCGAGGCUUCAAAAGUACCAAGAGAUGGCAGAAAAUCUCACGAAAUAAGACGAUAGUGCUCCUGGUACUCCUCUACAUGACGCUCCAUCAACAUCUUUUGUCGCCUAAGAGUUGGAGAUUCUCCAGGUACUGACGAAGUU